GACCCUUUCAUCUAGCUGGCCAAGGAUAUCACCCUUUCUCGGUGAAAACGGAAGUUCAAAUCUUUCAAGGGUCGCCA
rnacentral:tRNA from 1 species